UUCUCAUGAAACCUCACCAUUCUUGAUGUAUUGGCUCCACCAACUUAUUCUAAGGAUAAUUUCUCAUGAACACUCAUCAUGAAGUCAUCAUGGAGGCUCAUUAAAUUUUGAGGACUGGACUUCACAUAUUUGAUUCAAGAUGAAUCGAGGUUGGAUGUACGGUACAAAGGCUGGAAAUUUGGAUUUUGUCAAUGGUGUGGACUCGUUUGUGCAGACUGCCAAGGCACAC